rnacentral:tRNA from 1 species
GCGGGCGUAGUUCAGUUGGUUAGAGCGAUUCCCUGUCACGGCAGAGGUCGCCGGUUCGAGUCCGGUCGCCCGCG